GGGGGUGCAGCUUAGUGAUAAAGUGUUUGCCUAGCAUACAUGAGGCCCUGGGUUCAAUCCCCAGCACUACAA
rnacentral:tRNA from 1 species